rnacentral:rRNA from 1 species
GAUGAGCGCUGGCGGCGUGCCUAACACAUGUAAGUCGAACGUGAAGGUGCAGCAAUGUGCCCGAAAGUGGCGAACGGGUGAGUAACACGUAGAUAACCUACCCUAGAGUGGGGGAUAACGACUGGAAACGGUCGCUAAUACCGCAUUCGACUCUUUUUACGGGAGUAUAAAGAGUGAAAGAUUUAUCGCUCUGGGAGGGGUCUGCGUCCGAUUAGCUAGUUGGUGGGGUAAUGGCCCACCAAGGCGAUGAUCGGUAGCUGGUCUGAGAGGAUGAUCAGCCACACGGGAACUGAGACACGGUCCCGACUCCUACGGGGGGCAGCAGUGAGGAAUAUUGCACAAUGGGGGAAACCCUGAUGCAGCAACGCCGCGUGGAGGAUUGAAGAUCCUUGGAUUGUAAACUCCUUUUCUGAGGGACGAGAGAGGACGGUACCUCAGGAAUAAGUCACGGCUAACUACGUGCCAGCCGCCGCAGUAA